GUGGGGAAUCUUGCGCAAUGGGCGAAAGCCUGACGCAGCCAUGCCGCGUGGAUGAUGAAGGUCUUAGGAUUGUAAAAUCCUUUCACCGGUGAAGAUAAUGACUGUAGCCGGAGAAGAAGCCCCGGCUAACUUCGUGCCAGCAGCCGCGGUAAUACGAAGGGGGCUAGCGUUGCUCGGAUUUACUGGGCGUAAAGGGCGCGUAGGCGGACAUUUAAGUCAGGGGUGAAAUCCCGGGGCUCAACCUCGGAACUGCCUUUGAUACUGGGUGUCUUGAGUUUGGGAGAGGUGAGUGGAACUCCGAGUGUAGAGGUGAAAUUCGUAGAUAUUCGGAAGAACACCAGUGGCGAAGGCGACUCACUGGCCCAAUACUGACGCUGAGGCGCGAAAGCGUGGGGAGCAAACAGGAUUAGAUACCCUGGUAGUCC
rnacentral:rRNA from 1 species